CAAUAUUCACACCUCUUCAGUGACGCCAGAACUUCGGUUUAAGUGUGACGAUGAAACAAGCAUCAAGCUUUUUGUUAAUUUUUCUGCAUGUUAUGAUGCAUCAAUAAAAUUUAAAAUCACUGGUAAUUGAAUUAUUAGCUUUACAAUUAUUCAAAUUUACUUCAACUAAAGCCUUAAUUUAUUAAGCUCUGACUGCAACAUGUUUCUGGCACUGCAUUAGAAAUGGUUGUUAGAAAAAAACAAUGGCCAAAAAGAAAUUUUAUAGUGGGAAUAAUACUUUUGGUCGUAGGAAUGAUAUUAUACUCUUCCACAAUUAAUUCCAAGAAUGAAACCAAAGCACAAUCUACGAGACGAGCUGCAUAUAUAUUGAUAGGUAUUGGAUCUUUUAAUAUUUUUUUGGGACUAAUCUGUUAUGUUGUACAUUCGUACUCUGAUAAUCAACCGAGGCAUUUAAAUCCUAUCAACACAUCACAGAUUGAACCUUCAAUCCAUGUGAUUGCUGUCCAAGAACCUGUGGUUGAAGUAAGGCAUAGAUAUAGUCAUGAAGAACCACCACCGAGUUAUGAGGAAGUAAUUAAAAAUAGUCUUCACUCCUCUGAACAAUUCUUGCAUGUACCUACAUCAAAUCCAUGUAAUUACAACAUAAGAAGCAAUAGUUUGUCCAAUCAUCAAGUCUUACCGU